ACAGCUCAGUUGGUAGAGCAUUAGACUCUCAGCCUCUAGGUUGUGGGUUCAAGACCCACAUUGGGUA